AGAUGUCAAAUGGAUAGGGGUUUUAUCUCGAAGUUAGAUCGUAAAAAUCGCCGAGAAGUCAGACAGAUACCCCUCACUGGCUCGAGAAAGUCACGUGAGGUCCAUAAAGUUAGUUUUAUGGUUUUGGGGAGUUGACACCGCGCGGUAUAUUUCACAUUCUCCAGAAUGUUAAGUGACACUUUAACUGCUCACUGUGGUGGGGAAGGGGGCAGAGGUAGGUGAGCGCUCUGUGAGCUUGGAGCAGCCGGAAAAGCCCAGGAAGGCAGUGGCCAGAGCCCAGGCCCAGUGCUCCACGCAAAUCUCCGCAGACCGGCUGUUGGGGGAAAAAAGUGUUAGCCGCCUCUCCCGGAUCUGCAAGGGGGAACAUUUUUGGAACCCUAAAGUUGAAAACUUUUUUCUCUCAGUUUGGAAGAAGCCUUUCGUCAUGAAUGGGACCAGCGAAGCCCAGGCACUCAGGCGAGAGCAGGCAAGAGGCACAGAAGGAGGGGAGAUUUCUCGCCUGCCGCUCGCGCUGAGGCUCGAUGUGAAUAUAUAUUAUGUCUGCCUGUUCUCCCCUCGUCGGUGGCUAAGGUAAGCCGGACUGAAAUAGGCUAUCAGUUUGUGAAUGGCGGAGAGUAUGUCUCAAUGAUUUAUGGCCCAUAUGACUCCAAUCUCGGUUCAAGAAGAGUUCACAAGCUUUAAGCUUCCUUCCACGCAGCGACUGACUCUCUCUCUCUCUCUCUCUCUCUCUCUCUCUC